GUCUUCGAAGCUAUUCUUUUGGUCACGAACGUUUUGAGACUCCACAAUCACAAAAUUUCUCCACAAUCCUAAUGAAUGGAGCGGGUAGCGUGUUACUUUUUCUCAAAAAAAAAAUUCUCAACACAGACCGAACCAAUUAUAAUUCGUCAGGUGUUUAAUACUGCUCAUGGAAUCAAGUACCAAUAAGAUUUACUUUAGCCCGAACGACAAAUACAUUGGACUGCCGCUGUUUAGUUU
rnacentral:lncRNA from 1 species